AUUGAACGCUGGCGGCAGGCCUAACACAUGCAAGUCGAGCGAUCGGCGGACGGGUGAGUAAUGUAUGGGGACUGCCCGAUAGAGGAGGAUAACAACUGGAAACGGUAGCUAAUACCGCAUCCUAUCGGAUAACCCAUAUGGGAUUAGCUAGUAGGUGAGGUAAUGGCCCACCUAGGCGACGAUCCCUAGCUGGUCUGAGAGGAUGAUCAGGCACAAUGGGAAUGAGACACGGCCCAGACUCCGACGGAGGAAGAAGUGGGGAAUAUUGCACAAUGGGGGAAAGCCGGAUGCAGCACUGCCGCGUGUAUGAAGAAGGCCCUAGGGUGGUAAAGUACUUUCAGUCGGGAGGCGUUACCGACAGAAGAAGCACCGGCUAACUACGUGCCAGCAGCCGCGGUAAUAC
rnacentral:rRNA from 1 species